UAGCUUGCUACCGGACCUAGCGGCGGACGGGUGAGUAAUGCUUAGGAAUCUGCCUAUUAGUGGGGGACAACAUCUCGAAAGGGAUGCUAAUACCGCAUACGUCCUACGGGAGAAAGCAGGGGAUCUUCGGACCUUGCGCUAAUAGAUGAGCCUAAGUCGGAUUAGCUAGUUGGUGGGGUAAAGGCCUACCAAGGCGACGAUCUGUAGCGGGUCUGAG
rnacentral:rRNA from 2 species